rnacentral:lncRNA from 1 species
AAGCUGAUACGAGAGCCUGGCGAGGUUUUGAUUGGCAUUCAGGGUGAAGAAUGUCUGUCGAGGCUUCGCGGCGGUUGUCACGGGUUCGAUGGGGAGUUUCGGGUCGUGGCAAGUAGACAAGCUCGAUAAACACAAUCAAACCAAACAACAAGGGUUGGGCUUUACCUGAUUUGGGCUUGCACUAGCCCAAGAACACUUUAACCCAAGGAGGAAGGCAAGCUUGCUGCAACAGCCCACCUAAUCCCCUUCAAGGUGCACCGUUUUUGGCUUCAAAAACCUCUUCAAACGGUGUCGUUUUGCUUUCUUAUACCUGGGUAUAAAAGCUUCUUUUCUUUUCUCUCUCUUCACUUUCUUCUCUCACUUUCUCUCUCUAAUGGGGCCGAUUUUCUCCCUUUUCUCUAAGAUUUUUUUUUCUUCUCCUUCUUAUUCUUUUUUUCUCUUUUUCUUCCUUUCUUGGUCCACCGCUCUCCCUUCUCUCUUUCUCCUCUCUUUCUCUUCUCUUCUUCUUUACCGACGUCGCUCAAGCCUCUAUUUCUCCCCUAAACUGACGCUAAUAAUUCCCUAAACUCUUCCUUCCUCUAAGCUUCAACCAAUAAACCAAAAGUAAAAAUCUACCCCUAGAAACUCCAACUAAAAAAAUCCCCAAAACUCGCUCUUUUUCUCAUUUUUCAUUGUGUAUUUAUCGAUUGAUUUUUUUAUUUUUUGUUAUUUUUUUAUGGCUAUUGUGGUUAUGUUGGUUGCUAGAUCACUUAGGGUUUUUUUAAAAAUUUUUGGCUUCUGUUGUUUGAAGAAAAGGGGAUUUUUUUUUAGUUGUUGGAUUUGUUUUUUUUUUUAAACGUUUUCUCUCUUGUUUUUUCAAAAAACUCCUUUACCUCCUCAUUUUGAACUAGAGUUUUAGGGUUCUUAUAGAAACCAAUUGUCCAAAUCUUUGGACAAUCAGAAAAGGCAAUCAUGCUCUUCUCAGCAUGAAUUGCAGAUGGGUGGCCUUCAAGUUAAAAACAAAUCCACUGGAAAUGAUCUCAAAUCCCGACCGCUUGAAAAGCAUUUAAUACUCCGUAUUUUGUUGAUAAUGGAGGCCAAGUGUGCCUCCAACCUCCUUUUGUCUUUUUUUUUUUUAAAUUUUGAUUCAAUUUAUUUAUUUUAUUUUAUUUAUUAAAAGGGUGUAUACACCAGUUUUACAGAAUCAAUAGCAUUCCUUAGAUUUAUCUUCAAAUAAUGGGGUUUUCUGGACAUAAAGUUGAGGUUGCCAUGACCUAUCUGGUCACUGUAGGAAGCCAUACUUUUGCUUUUGUAAAC